rnacentral:rRNA from 1 species
UGAACGCUGGCGGCGUGCCUAAUACAUGCACGUCGAGCGAACGGACGCGAAGCUUGCUUCUCUGAUGUUAGCGGCGGACGGGUGAGUAACACGUGGAUAACCUACCUAUAAGACUGGGAUAACUUCGGGAAACCGGAGCUAAUACCGGAUGAUAUUUUGAACCGCAUGGUUCAAAAGUGAAAGACGGUCUUGCUGUCACUUAUAGAUGGAUCCGCGCUGCAUUAGCUAGUUGGUAAGGUAACGGCUUACCAAGGCAACGAUGCAUAGCCGACCUGAGAGGGUGAUCGGCCACACUGGAACUGAGACACGGUCCAGACUCCUACGGGAGGCAGCAGUAGGGAAUCUUCCGCAAUGGGCGAAAGCCUGACGGAGCAACGCCGCGUGAGUGAUGAAGGUCUUCGGAUCGUAAAACUCUGUUAUUAGGGAAGAACAUAUGUGUAAGUAACUGUGCACAUCUUGACGGUACCUAAUCAGAAAGCCACGGCUAACUACGUG